rnacentral:rRNA from 2 species
CAGCCGCCGCGGUAAAACCAGCACCUCAAGUGGUCAGGACGAUUAUUGGGCCUAAAGCAUCCGUAGCCUGCUUUGUUAGUUUUCGGUUAAAUCCAUACGCUCAACGUAUGGGCUGCCGGGAAUACUGCAAAGCUAGGGAGUGGGAGAGGUAGACGGUACUCGGUAGGAAGGGGUAAAAUCCUUUGAUCUAUUGAUGACCACCUGUGGCGAAGGCGGUCUACCAGAACACGUCCGACGGUGAGGGAUGAAAGCUGGGGGAGCAAACCGGAUUAGAUACCCGGGUAGUCCCAGCUGUAAACUAUGCAAACUCAGUGAUGCAUUGGCUUGUGGCCAAUGCAGUGCUGCAGGGAAGCCGUUAAGUUUGCCGCCUGGGAAGUACGUACGCAAGUAUGAAACUUAAAGGAAUUGGCGGGGGCGCAC